rnacentral:rRNA from 1 species
AGAGCGAACGCUGGCGGCAGGCCUAACACAUGCAAGUCGAGCGCCCCGCAAGGGGAGCGGCAGACGGGAGAGUAACACGUGGGAACGUACCCUUCAGUUCGGAACAACCCAGGGAAACUUGGGCUAAUACCGGAUACGUCCGUAAGGAGAAAGAUUUAUCGCUGAAGGAUCGGCCCGCGUCUGAUUAGCUUGUUGGUGAGGUAACGGCUCACCAAGGCUACGAUCAGUAGCUGGUCUGAGAGGAUGAUCAGCCUCACUGGGACUGAGACACGGCCCAGACUCCUACGGGAGGCAGCAGUGGGGAAUAUUGGACAAUGGGCGCAAGCCUGAUCCAGCCAUGCCGCGUGGGUGAUGAAGGCCCUAGGGUUGUAAAGCCCUUUCGGCGGGAAGAUAAUGACGGUACCGCAGAAGAGCCCGGCUAACUUCGCGCCAGCAGCCGC